CGUUAUGUCCAGUGCCUAGAAAAGUACCUGGUAAGUGUUGUGAAGUAUUUCCUGAAUAGAGGUUGAAUGUUGUGAUAAGUUUCACUGUGACUCCUCAUCUUGUACCUGCACUUGCAAGUUUCUUCUUGUCUGCCUGGGGCGUUGCGCUCAGCACCUUCAGCCCCCACCACUCAAGGUUCCUGUCUGCAUGAGUGUAAUCACCAUCGAGUGUCAACAGCACCAUCCCUUUCCCCACUCUCAUUCAGAAGCUCCUCAUCUGCUCUGGGAUGGGACAAACUCACUCUUGUGUCAUCAUUCUGCCAAGUUUAUUAAAACUCAAAAUGUGA
rnacentral:lncRNA from 1 species